CCAGGCUGAAGACUUUGCCGGAUUAGCUGAGAGGUGGUGCAUGGCCGUCGUCAGUUCGUACUGUGAAGCAUCCUGUUAAGUCAGGCAACGAGCGAGACCCACGCCCACAGUUGCCAGCGUACUCUCUGGAGUGACGGGUACACUGUGGGGACCGCCGCUGCUAAAGCGGAGGAAGGAAUGGGCAACGGUAGGUCAGUAUGCCCCGAAUAUCCCGGGCUACACGCGAGCUACAAUGGGUGGGACAAUGGGUAUCGACACCGAAAGGUGAAGGCAAUCUCCUAAACCCAUCCGUAGUUCGGAUUGUGGGCUGCAACUCGCCCACAUGAAGCUGGAAUCUGUAGUAAUCGUGUCUCAAAAUGGCACGGUGAAUAUGUCCCUGCUCCUU
rnacentral:rRNA from 1 species